rnacentral:rRNA from 1 species
UAAGGAAUAUUGGUCAAUGGGCGGAAGCCUGAACCAGCCAUGCCGCGUGCAGGAAGACGGCCCUAUGGGUUGUAAACUGCUUUUGCAGGGGAAUAAACCUCAUUACGUGUAAUGAGCUGAAUGUACUCUGAGAAUAAGGAUCGGCUAACUCCGUGCCAGCAGCCGCGGUAAUACGGAGGAUCCAAGCGUUAUCCGGAUUUAUUGGGUUUAAAGGGUGCGUAGGUGGCUUUUUAAGUCAGGGGUGAAAGACGGUAGCUUAACUAUCGCAGUGCCUUUGAUACUGAAGAGCUUGAAUAAACUAGAGGUAGGCGGAAUGUGACAAGUAGCGGUGAAAUGCAUAGAUAUGUCACAGAACACCAAUUGCGAAGGCAGCUUACUAUGGUUUUAUUGACACUGAGGCACGAAAGCGUGGGGAUCAAACA